rnacentral:rRNA from 1 species
AUCGAACGCUGGCGGCAUGCCUAAUACAUGCAAGUCGAGCGAGCGGCGGACGGGUGAGUAAUGUAGGGGGACUGCCCGAUAGAGGGGGAUAACUACUGGAAACGGUGGCUAAUACCGCAUACUAUCGGAUAACCCAUAUGGGAUUAGCUAGUGGGUGGGGUAAAGGCUCACCAAGGCGACGAUCUCUAGCUGGUCCGAGAGGUAGAUCAGCCACACUGGGACUGAGACACGGCCCAGACUCCUACGGAGGCAGCAGUGGGGAAUAUUGCACAAUGGGCGAAAGCCUGAUACAGCCAUGCCGCGUGUAUGAAGAAGGCCUUAGGGUUGUAAAGUACUUUCAGCGGGGAGGCGUUACCCGCAGAAGAAGCACCGGCUAACUCCGUGCCAGCAGCCGCGGUAAUUC